UAGCUCAGCGGUAGAGCGGGCGGCUGUUAACCGCUAGGUCGUAGGUUCGAAUCC
rnacentral:tRNA from 1 species